rnacentral:tRNA from 1 species
UCCCUGGUGGUCCAGUGGUUAGGAUACCACGUUCCCAAUGCCGGGAGUGUGGGUUCAAUCCCUGGUCAGGGAA